AUAUAGAUAUUUAGAAUAUUUAGUUAUUUUCUUUCCUAUCUCCCCUCUAUCUAUUUUCUUUAAUUAUUCACUAGAGCAAUUAUGAUCUGGACGUCAA